rnacentral:tRNA from 1 species
GAAAUAAGAUAAUCAAAAAUAAGCUUCUAACUUAAUUUUUUAGCGAUGAAAUAUCGUUAUUAUUUCU